UGUGUGUGUGUGUGUGUGUGUGUGUGUGUGCGCGCGCAUGCAUGCACACACACACACACACACUCU
rnacentral:miRNA from 1 species